GCACAUUGUAUUGAUUUAAUGUUGGAAGAUAUUGGAAAGAUCGUAGAAAUCAAAAAAACCUUAGAAAGGGCAAUUUUUGUUGUUGGAUUUCUUUAUAAUCACAUUGGGGCUUUGAAUAUGAUGAGAGAAUUUACAGGGAAUAAAGAAUUAGUGAGACAUGGUGUUACCCGAUUUGCUACUUCAUUCUUGACAUUACAGAGCGUGCAUCGUCAAAAACAUACUCUGAGAAAUAUGUUUACCUCUGAGAAAUGGGUGACAAGUAAAUGGGCAAAAGAAACAAAAGGCAAGAGGGCUGCUGAUAUCAUCUUAAUGUCAUCCUUUUGGAAUCAUGUAGUUUAUAUAUUAAAGGUAAUGGGCCCUUUUGUUCGAGUCAUUCGGUUGGUGGAUAAUGAAAAUAAGCCUGCAAUGGGAUAUAUUUAUGAGGCUAUGGAUAGAGCAAAGGAGACGAUUAAAAGAUCUUUUAAUGAAAAUGAAGAAAAAUAUGAGAAAAUUUUUACAAUCAUUGACGAAAGAUGGAAUUGUCAACUUCAUCGUCCCUUACAUGCAGCAGGAUAUUAUUUGAACCCUGAAUUCUUUUAUAAAAUUAAAUCUGUUGGAUUUGAUGCAGAAGUUUUGGGUGGGUUAUAUCAGUGUGUUGCAAGAUUAGUCCCCAGCAUUGAGAUUUAAGAUAAGAUUAUUCAUGAAUUAUCUUUAUAUAAAAAUGCUGAAGGUCUUUUUGGAAUUUCAAUUGCCGUUCGAUCCAGGACAACUACCUCUCCAAGUAUUAAUAAUUUGAUAUAAUUAAUUUCAUAUAUAUUAUGUUACUAUGUUAUUGCUAAUAAUAACAUAAAUUUUGCAGCUGAAUGGUGGAGUCUAUUUGGAAAUUCCAUCUCGAACUUACAGAAAUUUGCUAUCAAAGUACUUAGUUUGACAUGUAGUGCUUCGGGUUGUGAGCGAAACUGGAGUGUCUUUGAGCAUAUUCACUCGAAGAGAAGAAAUCGGUUAGAACAUCAACGAUUGCACGAUCUUGUUUACAUAAAGUAUAAUCAAGCUUUGAAGACUCGUCAUGAUUUGAAAAAUAGAUUUGAUUCAAUCUCAUUGCAAGAUAUUGAUGAUUCAAAUGAGUGGUUAGUAGGAGAAAUGGGUGCUAACUUGCAAGAUGCUGAAGAUGAGCUUGUAUUUGAAGAUGAUAGAUUGACGUGGGGAGAUGUGGCAAGAGCUUCAGGUGUUGGAGAAUUACAAACAUAUACAAGACAGAUGUCAAAGAGAAAAAUGAGUGCAAAAGCAUCAAGCUCGGCUCCUGCUAUUGUUGAAGACAGAGAAUGAAACAUAUCUUGAUGAAGAGGAAGGAAUCGAAGAACAAGAGGAAGAAGACGAAUUCAAUGAAGAUGAUUUGUGUGAAAAUGACGAUAAUAUUGAUUAUGAUAAAUGACUUUGAUGUAAAAUUUUAAUGUUUUGAAUUUUGAAACUUUUUGUUAAUGUGACAUAGUGAUUUUGUA